UGGGGAAUAUUGCACAAUGGGCGCAAGCCUGAUGCAGCCAUGCCGCGUGUGUGAAGAAGGCCUUCGGGUUGUAAAGCACUUUCAGCGGGGUGGAAGGCGAUAAGGUUAAUAACCUUGUCGAUUGACGUUACCCGCAGAAGAAGCACCGGCUAACUCCGUGCCAGCAGCCGCGGUAAUACGGAGGGUGCAAGCGUUAAUCGGAAUUACUGGGCGUAAAGCGCACGCAGGCGGUCUGUCAAGUCGGAUGUGAAAUCCCCGGGCUCAACCUGGGAACUGCAUUCGAAACUGGCAGGCUAGAGUCUUGUAGAGGGGGGUAGAAUUCCAGGUGUAGCGGUGAAAUGCGUAGAGAUCUGGAGGAAUACCGGUGGCGAAGGCGGCCCCCUGGACAAAGACUGACGCUCAGGAGCGAAAGCGUGGGGAGCAAACAGG
rnacentral:rRNA from 1 species